rnacentral:rRNA from 1 species
UCGAACGGUGAACACGGAGCUUGCUCUGUGGGAUCAGUGGCGAACGGGUGAGUAACACGUGAGCAACCUACCCCUGACUCUGGGAUAAGCGCUGGAAACGGCGUCUAAUACUGGAUAUGUGGCGUGACCGCAUGGUCUGCGUCUGGAAAGAAUUUCGGUUGGGGAUGGGCUCGCGGCCUAUCAGCUUGUUGGUGAGGUAAUGGCUCACCAAGGCGUCGACGGGUAGCCGGCCUGAGAGGGUGACCGGCCACACUGGGACUGAGACACGGCCCAGACUCCUACGGGAGGCAGCAGUGGGGAAUAUUGCACAAUGGGCGCAAGCCUGAUGCAGCAACGCCGCGUGAGGGAUGACGGCCUUCGGGUUGUAAACCUCUUUUAGCAGGGAAGAAGCGAAAGUGACGGUACCUGCAGAAAAAGCGCCGGCUAACUACGUGCCAGCAGCCGCGGUAAUACGUAGGGCGCAAGCGUUAUCCGGAAUUAUUGGGCGUAAAGAGCUCGUAGGCGGUUUGUCGCGUCUGCUGUGAAAUCCGGAGGCUCAACCUCCGGCCUGCAGUGGGUACGGGCAGACUAGAGUGCGGUAGGGGAGAUUGGAAUUCCUGGUGUAGCGGUGGAAUGCGCAGAUAUCAGGAGGAACACCGAUGGCGAAGGCAGAUCUCUGGGCCGUAACUGACGCUGAGGAGCGAAAGGGUGGGGAGCAAACAGGCUUAGAUACCCUGGUAGUCCACCCCGUAAACGUUGGGAACUAGUUGUGGGGUCCAUUCCACGGAUUCCGUGACGCAGCUAACGCAUUAAGUUCCCCGCCUGGGGAGUACGGCCGCAAGGCUAAAACUCAAAGGAAUUGACGGGGACCCGCACAAGCGGCGGAGCAUGCGGAUUAAUUCGAUGCAACGCGAAGAACCUUACCAAGGCUUGACAUAUACGAGAACGGGCCAGAAAUGGUCAACUCUUUGGACACUCGUAAACAGGUGGUGCAUG